CCCGCCCGGCGCCCUCUAGGCUGGAAGGCUGCUGGCGUCCUACCGGUGCCAGCACUGCCAGAACGGGAGGAGCGCGGCGCGGGCCAGCCAGGACUGCUGGACAGCGGGGUCCAGGCUAGAGGGGAGCGGUCAGUGACGGCUGUGGAGGAGGUCCACCUCCUAACAAAUUAUUGGAAGGAAUAUGAGAAAAAUGGAGUUUCACUCUUGUCACCCAGGCUGGAGUGCAAUGGAGUGAUCAUGGCUCACUGCAACCUCUGCCUCCCGGGUUCAAGCGAUUCUCCUGCCUCAGCCUCUCAAGUAGCUGGGAUUACAAGUGCCCACCACCACGCCCAGCUAAUUUUUGUAUUUUUAGUAGAGAUGGGGUUUUACCACGUUGGCCAGGCUGGUCUCCAACUCUUGACCUCAUGUGAUUCACCACCUCAGCCUCCCAAAGUGCUGGGAUUACAGGCGUGAGCCACUGUGCCCGGCCUAUACCUAUAUUUUCUUCUGUGAUUUUAAUAUUUUAGUGUUUAUGUUUUGGUCUAUGAUCCAUUUUGAGUAAAUUUUUGUAUUUGAUAUAAGGUAGGGGUCAACUUUAUUUAUUUAUUUAUUUAUUUAUUUUUGAGACGGAGUCUCGCUCUGUCGCCCAGGCUGGAGUGCAGUGGCGCGAUCUCGGCUCACUGCAAGCUCCGCCUCCCGGGUUCACGCCAUUCUCCUGCCUCAGCCUCUCCGAGUAGCUGGGACUACAGGCGCCCGCCACCACGCCCGGCUAAUUUUUUUUGUAUUUUUAGUAGAGACGGGGUUUCACUGUGGUCUCGAUCUCCUGACCUCGUGAUCCGCCCGCCUCGGUCUCCCAGAGUGCUGUGAUUACAAGCGUGAGCCACCGCGCCCGGCCAACUUUAUUUAUUUUUGAGAUGGAGGCUUACUCUGUUGCCCAGGCUGGCAUGCAAUGGUGCGAUCCAGCUCACUGCAACCUCUGUGUCCCAAGUUCAAGUGAUUCUCCCACCUCAGCCAUCUGAGUAGCUGGGAUUACAGGCCCCAUCACUAUGGUAAUUUUUAAAUUUUUAGUAGAGACGGGGUUUCACCAUGUUGGCCAGGCUGGUCUCAAACUCCUGACCUCAAGUGAU